UGCAGCAAGGACGACAAAGGUAAUGUUCUUCCUUUUGUUUUUAUGUAAGGGAAACAAUCUGUUCUAAUCUACAGAGACUCUUUUCCGCAUCCCCUCAACUCUUUUGUUCACAUCCCCCGUUCCCAUCAGCAGGGCUCGCCACCCACUCACUCUCUCACGAACACGAACACACACACUAUUCCGGAUACUUAGACAGAGAUGCUCUUUUAUCCGUCUCUCCGAGCUCUUGGCGGGGAGUGGUUGCUGAGUGUGUGUGUGUGUGUGCCCUGCUGUGAAUGUUUUCACUGUGUCACCAAACAGGAAGAAGGAAGUUCCAUCCAGCGGCUGUUAUAUCACCCCCCUCCCAAAAAAAAGCCGUGGACGGCAGCAAAGUGCCAGAGGUGUAACUAAUUCAGGCCUGACUCAUUUGCUCCCGAAACAGGCUGCUCCUGGAACUACAAUGAGGUUAAACUGCCCUUCAACUCCACUCUGCAGCCUCCCCUUCAGUUCCCAUCAUUCCCUCACAUCCUAUUCUCCAUCUUCCUCCAUUUGGAAUUUAUUAGCUAUGACAAACGGAGGGAACACAAAACAAAGCGGC